rnacentral:lncRNA from 1 species
UGAGCCGUCGUGCCGUUCGGUGCCGCGCCUCUCAACCGCUUUCUCUUGUUAGUGAAAUGUGGGGAAUCGGACCUUAGAGUUUCUGGUCGUGGCAAAUAUUCCACGCCUUGGGAUCCUGAUCAAGAUUAUCACUAUUUGCUGUGAGAAUCCCUGACUAUUUUGAAAGCUUGUCAGAGACACAUCUAAAUUGCGCGUUGUGCGUUACGGAGAAGAAACUCGAAAUAAAAGUGUCUAAAAAAAACAGAAAAUAGAGAUAAAUAGAUAGAUAUAUAGAAAUAGAAACGAAAGUGUGGACCCUUAGACUUUCAGUUGGAUAGAUCCCCUCUUUUAGGGUCGUUUCAGUGUUGUUCUUGUUGUUUUUUCAGUCCUGAAAAUAAGAUAUACCAAAA